AGGACACUACCCUUCUCAUCUCUCUCUCUUAUCGGGGACUUAGUCAUUUGUAAGAAAAUGGCUUCCAAGUCUUUUCUUAUUUUGGGUGUGAUCGAUUUUAAUUCUUCUUCUAUCCACCUCUUCGGAGGUAGUAGCUAGAGAACUAGCUGAAACUUCCAAGCAAGAGAGCACACAGAAGAAGGCCACCACGACAGGAUUCAACGGCAGUCCCCCAAAUUACGAGUACCCCGGUGUCGACUUCCCCCCUCGCUAGGGAGGGCGGUUCCAAUACGGUUGCUUCAGCUGCCACAACAGCUACUACAUAUGGUGUGGGAGGCCGUCGAUGCCCAAACUCAAGCCAAGCCUCACAACUAAAACAGUGGUCUAUGACAUGCAUACGGAUGCUUAUGCUAUAGACAAACCAUAUAUAUAUUUUUUGUACGGUAGAAAUACUAUAUUGUGUACGUGUGAAUAAAGCAUGUAAUGUGUGCCUACGUUCCUGAUAUGUAUGCACUUGGUUUAAUUUGCUUUUUACUAGUUGGUUUUUUUGUUAAUGAAAUAAUAAAUAAAGAAAUAAAAAGGUUGUGGCUUUGGGUGA